UACGAAGGGGGCUAGCGUUGUUCGGAGUUACUGGGCGUAAAGAGUGCGUAGGCGGUUUUCUAAGUUUGGUGUGAAAUCUCCCGGCUUAACUGGGAGGGUGCGCCGAAGACUGGAAGGCUUGAGUAUGGGAGAGGUAAGCGGAAUUCCUGGUGUAGCGGUGAAAUGCGUAGAUAUCAGGAGGAACACCGGUGGCGAAGGCGGCAUCCUGGACCGGUAUUGACGCUGAGGCGCGAAAGCCAGGGGAGCAAACGGGG
rnacentral:rRNA from 1 species